rnacentral:rRNA from 1 species
GACGAACGCUGGCGGCGUGCUUAACACAUGCAAGUCGAACGGAAAGGCCCUGCUUUUGUGGGGUGCUCGAGUGGCGAACGGGUGAGUAACACGUGAGUAACCUGCCCUUGACUUUGGGAUAACUUCAGGAAACUGGGGCUAAUACCGGAUAGGAGCUCCUGCUGCAUGGUGGGGGUUGGAAAGUUUCGGCGGUUGGGGAUGGUCUCGCGGCUUAUCAGCUUGUUGGUGGGGUAGUGGCUUACCAAGGCUUUGACGGGUAGCCGGCCUGAGAGGGUGACCGGCCACAUUGGGCCUGAGAUACGGCCCAGACUCCUACGGGAGGCAGCAGUGGGGAAUAUUGCACAAUGGGCGGAAGCCUGAUGCAGCAACGCCGCGUGCGGGAUGACGGCCUUCGGGUUGUAAACCGCUUUCGCCUGUGACGAAGCGUGAGUGACGGUAAUGGGUAAAGAAGCACCGGCUAACUACGUG